UAAAAAAGGUCCAAUAUUUGCCUCUGAGAUGUAGUGGAGUAGAAGUAUAAAGUUGCAUAAAAUGGAAAUACUCAUGUAAAGAACAAGUACCUUGAAUUUGUAAUUAAGUACAGUACUUGAUCACCUGCAUUAAAUCCCA